UCCUGGGUAUAUACACAACUAGUACAAUUUGUUUACACAAAAGUAGGCGGGUACACCUUUUCUUGUAUAAAUACUCUUGUACAUUGAGAAACGAAAUACACAAAUAAGGUUACAAUCUGAUUCUGAGAUGGAUUCCGAUUAGAAACCGGAGGCUCUGAUCGUGAUUUCUUUUCCAAGUGCCUAUCGCAACUUGAAAUUUCCGGCAUUGCUGGGAUUCUUUUCUAUUAAUCGAUUUUUUUGUGUCACAGGCGAGAGCAAGAAAUUUUUGAAAUUUGAUUGGGGCCCAAAGCCCAUUUCUUGGUGAAAUUCUAGGGUCAAAGUUGUCUUGGUAUUGCAAAAGGAGCUGGUAUCAUGAUUUGUUCAAACAUAUCAAAUGCUUCCUCAUGUUCACUUGGAAAUGUUGUGUCUUCAAUUGUGGUGCUGAUGAUUUCCUGUUUAUUUGAUUCGAUAUUAAGAACGUUGAUAGAUUGAUACAUGAAGCUUCUAAAAGAAUUUGGGAAUUUCAUAAACUUGAGUUGGAGAAUUUGAAAUGGGCCACGUGGUGGAGAACAACAAGAGAUCUGUUGGGCCAAGUUUUGAGACAGAAGAAGAGUUGGGCUUUGAUUUGAAUUGAUCUUGAACCAAAGAAUAAAUUUAAAGGUGGAAGUAUGAACGACCAAGACCGUAGGAUCAUGGUAACCACUCGGCAAGAACAUGUGCCAUACUGAUCUGAAUGCUUUUGUAGUAUUUUUCAAUUUAUAUCUUGAAUAUUUGAUAUAUUAGCUAAGAUUUCUGGAACUGCUUCAAGCUCGCAAUAAGAUAUAAAAACAAGAUGUUUUAGCCCACGAAAGUUGCGAUUUUAAGCCCUCUAGGUUUUCAAGUUUGUCCUUCAAUCCACAAGACUAGGAAACUCUGGCUUCUAUGAAUGCAUUUUCUUUCAACUUUAGGACUUCAAGGAAAUUGAUUUCUCUUACAUUAGUUAGUUCUCCCCUCUAACUGGUUCGUGAGAAGGUCAGCUUCCUCAGGGUUUUCAAAAGUAUGAAUAACCUUAUGAUCGUGGUAACCACUCGGCAAGAAAAUGUCACAACUUAUUUUAAUGCAAAUCUCCGUAAGAGAAAGUUUUCAGAAGAUGAAAGCUGAAUUUUGCUAAAAUAAAGUUUUCAGGUCUAAAAGUUGCACUCAAGUAAUGAGUUACAAGAACAAGGAAAAAUCAUAACUGAAAAAUAUAGUGGACUACCACUUAUUCUGAAAAAUAUAGUGGAGUUACGAUCUCAGGUAGUCCAUCAUAUUUUUCCUUGUUCUUCUAACUCAAUAUUUGAGCAACUUUCAAACUUGAAAACCUUUUUUAAAAGCAAAAUCCAACUUUAAUCAUCUUCUAGAAACUUUAGCUAAUUAAUACUUUCAUUGCAUUAAGUUGACAUAUCUUCUUGCCGAGUGGUUAACAUGAUUCAGUGGCCUUGGUUGUUCAUACUUCUGAAGAUUCAGAUGAAUCUGACCCUUUAUGGUGCCCAGUUGGAGUGGAGCAAACUGACUAAAGUGGGAGAAAUCGAUUUCUUUGAAGUCUUAGAGUUGAAAGAGAAUGUAUUAAUGGGAUUCAUUGAUGGUGUCCAUAGUUUUGUAGAUCGGAGGACAAACUUGAAAAAACUCAAGGGCUUCGAAUUGCAACUUUGUGGGCUAAAGCAGCUUGUUCUUAUAUCUUUUGGAAGCUUCAAGCAAUACCAAAAUGCUUGGCUGAUGUAUUCAACCUUCAAAGAUAUGAAACUGGAAAAUACUACACGAGCAAUCAGGUCAGCAAAAGAAAAUAGAGGAGAAGAAGAUGGAACGCGCGCCAACUCAAGCAUUGAUUUAAAGCUCUCGAUGGUGCUCUUGAUCUUUUAUCAAUGUAGUAAUACACAGCUUGGGACUUUGAUGGCAGCGAGAAAUGUAUUAAGAGAGCUGCCAAGAGUCAAAAGAUGAAAUCAAGGAUAGUAAAUACUUUUCCGCUGGGCAUAGUAAUCUCAUAUUGGAUGCUGUCCGAAUAACUAGUCUGAAUUGACAGCAAUUCUAGCUUUUCUUUUCUA